rnacentral:ncRNA from 1 species
GGCCGGAUAAGGCGUUCACGCCGCAUCCGGCGGUUGUGCGCCGAUGCCUGAUGCGACGCUACGCGUCUUAUCAUGCC